CUUCUAUUCUCUUCGUUUGGAAUUACUUCUCUCGGAAAUGAAUCGGAAAUGAAUGUAUCUAGACCUAAAAUACGUCUAGAUACAUCUAUUUCUGCGGCAAGUAAUUCCAAACGGAGGGAGUACCAA
rnacentral:pre_miRNA from 1 species